rnacentral:rRNA from 1 species
AGCGAACGCUGGCGGCAGGCCUAACACAUGCAAGUCGAACGAACUCUUCGGAGUUAGUGGCGGACGGGUGAGUAACACGUGGGAACGUGCCUUUUGGUUCGGAAUAACUCAGGGAAACUUGUGCUAAUACCGAAUGUGCCCUUCGGGGGAAAGAUUUAUCGCCAUUAGAGCGGCCCGCGUCUGAUUAGCUAGUUGGUGAGGUAACGGCUCACCAAGGCGACGAUCAGUAGCUGGUCUGAGAGGAUGACCAGCCACACUGGGACUGAGACGCGGCCCAGACUCCUACGGGAGGCAGCAGUGGGGAAUCUUGCGCAAUGGGCGAAAGGCUGACGCAGCCAUGCCGGGUGAAUGAUGAAAGUCUUAGGAUUGUAAAAUUCUUUCAACGGGGACGAUAAUGACGGUACCCGGAGAAGAAGCCCCGGCUAACUUCGUG